rnacentral:rRNA from 1 species
UACGAAGGGUGCAAGCGUUGUUCGGAAUUACUGGGCGUAAAGCGCGCGUAGGCGGCUUGAUAAGUUGGAAGUGAAAUCCCGAGGCUUAACUUCGGAAUUGCUUUCAAAACUAUUAAGCUAGAGUAUGGCAGGGGACAGUGGAAUUCCUAGUGUAGAGGUGAAAUUCGUAGAUAUUAGGAGGAACACCGGUGGCGAAAGCGACUGUCUGGACCAUUACUGACGCUGAGGCGCGAAAGCGUGGGGAGCAAACAGG